UCCCUCAGGUAGGCUUGUGUGUCUCAGGA
rnacentral:piRNA from 1 species